rnacentral:rRNA from 1 species
GAAACCCCGGCUAACUCCGGGCCAGCAGCCGCGGUAAUACGGAGGGGGUUAGCGUUGUUCGGAAUUACUGGGCGUAAAGCGCACCUAGGCGGAUUAGAAAGUUGGGGGUGAAAUCCCGGGGCUCAACCCCGGAACUGCCUCCAAAACUGCUAGUCUAGAGUUCGAGAGAGGUGAGUGGAAUUCCGAGUGUAGAGGUGAAAUUCGUAGAUAUUCGGAGGAACACCAGUGGCGAAGGCGGCUCACUGGCUCGAUACUGACGCUGAGGUGCGAAAGUGUGGGGAGCAAACAGGAUUAGAUACCCUGGUAGUCCACACCGUAAACGAUGAAUGCCAGUCGUCGGGUAGUAUACUAUUCGGUGACACACCUAACGGAUUAAGCAUUCCGCCUGGGGAGUACGGUCGCAAGAUUAAAACUCAAAUGAAUUGACGGGG